rfam:Halalkalicoccus jeotgali B3, complete genome.
GGGCGCGUAGCUCAGUGGAUAGAGUCCUUGGUUCCGAACCAAGAUGCCGCGGGUUCAAAUCCCGUCGCGCCCG